UACGUAGGGGGCAAGCGUUGUCCGGAAUCAUUGGGCGUAAAGCGCGCGUAGGCGGAACGUUAAGUCCGGUUUGAAAGCCCCCGGCUCAACCGGGGAGAGUGGCUGGAAACUGGCGUUCUGGAGGGCGAUAGAGGAGAGUGGAAUUCCUGGUGUAGCGGUGAAAUGCGUAGAUAUCAGGAGGAACACCCGUGGCGAAGGCGGCUCUCUGGAUCGACCCUGACGCUGAGGCGCGAAAGCGUGGGGAGCGAACGGG
rnacentral:rRNA from 1 species